rnacentral:rRNA from 1 species
AACGAACGCUGGCGGCAUGCCUAACACAUGCAAGUCGAACGAACCCUUCGGGGUUAGUGGCGCACGGGUGCGUAACACGCGGGAAUCUGCCCUUUGCUUCGGAAUAACAGUUAGAAAUGACUGCUAAUACCGGAUGAUGUCGUAAGACCAAAGAUUUAUCGGCAAAGGAUGAGCCCGCGUAGGAUUAGGUAGUUGAUGGGGUAAAGGCCUACCAAGCCGACGAUCCUUAGCUGGUCUGAGAGGAUGAUCAGCCACACUGGGACUGAGACACGGCCCAGACUCCUACGGGAGGCAGCAGUGGGGAAUAUUGGACAAUGGGCGAAAGCCUGAUCCAGCAAUGCCGCGUGAGUGAUGAAGCCUCGGUUGUAAGACUCCUUUACCUAGGGAUGAUAAUAGACAGUACCUGGAGAAUAAGACUCCGG